GACGAACGCUGGCGGCGUGCUUAACACAUGCAAGUCGAACGGAAAGGCCCUGCUUUUGUGGGGUGCUCGAGUGGCGAACGGGUGAGUAACACGUGAGUAACCUGCCCUUGACUUUGGGAUAACUUCAGGAAACUGGGGCUAAUACCGGAUAGGAGCUCCUGCGGCAUGGUGGGGGUUGGAAAGUUUCGGCGGUUGGGGUUGGACUCGCGGCUUAUCAGCUUGUUGGUGGGGUAGUGGCUUACCAAGGCUUUGACGGGUAGCCGGCCUGAGAGGGUGACCGGCCACAUUGGGACUGAGAUACGGCCCAGACUCCUACGGGAGGCAGCAGUGGGGAAUAUUGCACAAUGGGCGGAAGCCUGAUGCAGCAACGCCGCGUGCGGGAUGACGGCCUUCGGGUUGUAAACCGCUUUCGCCUGUGACGAAGCGUGAGUGACGGUAAUGGGUAAAGAAGCACCGGCUAACUACGUG
rnacentral:rRNA from 1 species